UACGUAGGGGGCGAGCGUUGUCCGGAAUCAUUGGGCGUAAAGAGCGUGUAGGCGGCUUGGCAAGUCUGACGUGAAAGCCCGCGGCUCAACCGCGGAUUGUCGUUGGAAACUGCCUCGCUAGAGUCCGGAAGAGGAGAGCGGAAUUCCUGGUGUAGCGGUGGAAUGCGCAGAUAUCAGGAAGAACACCCGUGGCGAAGGCGGCUCUCUGGGACGGUACUGACGCUGAGAC
rnacentral:rRNA from 1 species